CGGUUCGUAGCUCAGUUGGUAGAGCACGUGACUCUUAAUCAUGGGGUCGUGAGUUCGAUCCUCACCGAACCGA
rnacentral:tRNA from 1 species